rnacentral:rRNA from 1 species
CGCGAAUGCCUCUAGAUUAGACGUUUGAUCAUGGCUCAGACUUGAACGCUCGGUCGGCCAAGUCUAACACAUGCAAGUCGAGCGGUAGCACAGGGAGCUUGCUCCUGGGUGACGAGCGGCGGACGGGUGAGUAAUGUCUGGGAAACUGCCUGAUGGAGGGGGAUAACUACUGGAAACGGUAGCUAAUACCGCAUAACGUCUUCGGACCAAAGUGGGGGACCUUCGGGCCUCAUGCCAUCAGAUGUGCCCAGAUGGGAUUAGCUAGUAGGUGGGGUAACGGCUCACCUAGGCGACGAUCCCUAGCUGGUCUGAGAGGAUGACCAGCCACACUGGAACUGAGACACGGUCCAGACUCCUACGGGAGGCAGCAGUGGGGAAUAUUGCACAAUGGGCGCAAGCCUGAUGCAGCCAUGCCGCGUGUAUGAAGAAGGCCUUCGGGUUGUAAAGUACUUUCAGCGAGGAGGAAGGCAUUAAGG